GGGCUCGUGGCGCAGUGGUUAGCGCAGGCGACUCAUAAUCGCUUGGUCGUUGGUUCGAAUCCAACCGGGCCCACCU
rnacentral:tRNA from 2 species